UACGGAGGAUGCAAGCGUUAUCCGGAAUAAUUGGGCGUAAAGCGUCCGUAGGUGGCUGUUCAAGUCUGCCGUUAAAGACCGGGGCUUAACCCUGGAAAGGCGGUGGAAACUGAACGGCUAGAGUGCAGUAGGGGUAGAGGGAAUUCCCGGUGUAGCGGUGAAAUGCGUAGAGAUCGGGAAGAACACCGGUGGCGAAAGCGCUCUGCUGGACUGCAACUGACACUGAGGGACGAAAGCUAGGGGAGCGAAUGGG
rnacentral:rRNA from 1 species